GCCCUCGUAGCUCAAAAGGACAGAGCACCACACUCCUAACGUGGUGAUGGAGGUUCAAUUCCCUCCGAGGGCA
rnacentral:tRNA from 1 species